AUUGGUAUUUUUGUAUUCCAAAUUUAAUUCUAACUAGAUCAUAACCCGUGCUAUACAGCACGGGCAUUAAUAUUUUGUAUAAAUUAAAUUUUAUAUUUUGUUUGAAUUACAUAAGAAAUA
rnacentral:sRNA from 1 species